rnacentral:lncRNA from 1 species
GCAUUAGGAAAAAACUGACGAAAAGAGCAAAAUAAAAAAAUAAAGCAGGAACCAACUCACAUCCUCCAUGGAAAAUCGUGGAAUGUGUAAGGUAACGUGCCAGCUAAAAAAGUUUGAUUUUUUUAAAAAACCUAGCUCUACGUUGUAAACAGUGUCACAUUUAAGACAUUUUAAGAACAGAAAUAUCACACAAGUAUUCACCAACAGAAAGCUGGCAUAGCUAGAUUAGUAUGUCAUGGGACUUUAAGAAAUAGAGCUUAAUGAGGAAGAAGCCCCCCAAAGACGAGAAACGUUUCUAUACGGGAACACAGCUGGUGACAAACGCACGCCAACAGAAUGGCCAUGGUGGGCUUCACGUCUCUAUAAGCAGCGGACGCACCCUGCCCUCAACAGGCAGCCGCCGUCUCCGACUCAGGGAACAGGUGUGCCAGCCACGCAGGCACAGGUCUGAGGCAGCGGGGUCUGCAGUGCAUGGGGCCCGCAGGGCAGCAGGAAGGGCUGCACAGAUGAACGCGGGCCUGCAUGCACCUGCGGGAAAACGCAGACACACAUGGGCGGGGGUGGGAGUGGGGGGGAUUGUGGAAGGAAAACAAGAAGAAAAUAUGUUUACGUUUGCUCAGAUUUGCAUACAUACAGGAGGUGAUCACAGUGGUUCUCUAUAGGUCACUACAGACAGCGGCAGAGAUGAGAACAAAAUUAAACCUUUUCAAUAAUACUAA